AUACUAUGCUGAAAGCUCCGGUUUCCGUCUGAUCACAGCAGUUAAGCAACAUCGGGCGCAGUCAGUACUUUGAAGGGUGACCAUCUAGGAAUUUCGAGUGCUGUU